rnacentral:rRNA from 1 species
AUUGAACGCUGGCGGCAUGCCUUACACAUGCAAGUCGAACGGCAGCACGGGUGCUUGCCCCUGGUGGCGAGUGGCGAACGGGUGAGUAAUACAUCGGAACAUGUCCUGUAGUGGGGGAUAGCCCGGCGAAAGCCGGAUUAAUACCGCAUACGAUCUACGGAUGAAAGCGGGGGCCCUUCGGGCCUCGCGCUAUAGGGUUGGCCGAUGGCUGAUUAGCUAGUUGGUGGGGUAAAGGCCUACCAAGGCGACGAUCAGUAGCCGGUCUGAGAGGACGACCAGCCACACUGGGACUGAGACACGGCCCAGACUCCUACGGGAGGCAGCAGUGGGGAAUUUUGCACAAUGGGCGAAAGCCUGACCCAGCAAUGCCGCGUGUGUGAAGAAGGCCUUCGGGUUGUAAAGCACUUUUGUCCGGAAAGAACUACUUUGCCCUAAUACAGUCGGGGGAUGACGGUACCGGAAGAAUAAGCCCCGGCUAACUACGUG